CUGCACGGUACCGUAAGAAUAGCCACCGGCUAGCUACGUGCCAGCAGCCGCGGUAAUACGUAGGUGCAAGCGUAAUCGGAAUUACUGGGCGUAAAGCGUGCGCAGGCGGUGAUGUAAGACAGUCGUGAAAUCCCCGGGCUCAACCUGGGAAUUGCGUUGUGACUGCAUCNCUGGAGUGCGGCAGAGGGGGAUGGAAUCCCGCGUGUAGCAGUGAAAUGCGUAGAUAUGCGGAGGAACACCGAUGGCGAGGCAAUCCCCUGGGCCUGCACUGACGCUCAUGCACGACAGCGUGGGGAGCAAACAGGAUAGAUACCCUGGUACUCCACGCCCUAAACGAUGUCAAC
rnacentral:rRNA from 1 species